AUGCACAAUAGAAUUCUUCAACAAUGUAACCAGAAAAUUAAUGAAAAUCUGGAAGCACAUAAGUACAGAGCUAUAGCUUUCAGAAAAAGCAUCGACCAUUUCAAAAAGGUCAAACUGCAGGUGCCACUUCAAGGAGAAGACACAAUGGACUGCGCAUUCUAUAUGUACAUGAACCUGAAGCACUACUCCAAUGAUGGAACAGCACCAACCUUAAAGCCAGAACAAGUACGAGAGUUGAGGAAAAAAAUUCUAUAUCAACUAAUCAGUCAACACAGAGGGAAUACCAAACUGUCACUAAUCAAGUGUACAACAGAUAUGCUGAAGUAUGAAGUAGAUAUGGAACACAAAGAAAUGCAACAGGCAGAAUGUUGCGUACUAGAAGAGUUUCCACCAACUCCCGAGCCAAAAGAACAUAUUAUGCGUGCGACAACCACACAAGAGCAUGAAGUUAUUGAAAUAUCCAGUAAACGCAAAGAGAUUAUGGAUGUCAGCAGCCACACCGUCGCCCAACAAUCUUGCACAGACCACGAACAAAAUGAUCCACCAAUAGAACCAGAUCAACCACCACCAGACGACAAGAUACCACACCAUGCCGAAGAGGAAAUGGACGAGCAAAAUAUCAAUAGCAAUAUCACGAGCACAGAGCAACUGGAACAAACAUGCACUGAUUUAAAAGAGGAUGACAGAAGCAAUGACGUGCCAAAUACACAACAACAGGAAGAAGUUGAUGAAUUUCUUUCAAGCCUUAACCCGCUACAACUAGACGUAUACAACGAAUAUGUAAAGAUGGGCUAUCAGUUUGAUGUAAUCAAAACAUGGCUGAACGACUAUGAAGCUAUGAAUUCAACAAAGAUGCCAAGCCGUAUCUGA
rnacentral:rRNA from 1 species